UCCCUGGCAGUCCACUGGCUGGAACUCCGUGCUCCCAAUGCAGGGGACCCAGGUUCGAUUCCUGGUCAGGGAA
rnacentral:tRNA from 1 species